rnacentral:ncRNA from 1 species
CAAAGAUUUGGUCCUAAUCUUAAUGUUACUUUUUACUAAACCUACACAUGUAAGUAUCAGCAAACCAGUGAAAAUGCCCUAAAAGUCCACACCAGACAAAAGGAGCCGGUAUCAGGCACGCCAUGACAGCCCAAAACACCUUGCUUCGCCACACCCCCAAGGGUACUACAACAGUGAUUAAUUUUAAGCAAUAAGCAUAAGCUUGACUUAGUUAUAGUAAAUUACAUUCAGGGUUGGUAAAUCUCGUGCCAGCCACCGCGGUUAUACAAGAAACCCAAAGCAACAAUAAUAACGGCGUAAAAUGUGGUUAAACCAAAUUCAUAAAAACCUAAGGUUGCCCCUCCACCAAACUGUCAUACGUAAAGUACAAAUCAACCCAAUAUGAAAAUAACCUUAAUAUAUCAGAAAACUUGAAUCCACGAUCGUUAAGAUACAAACUGGGAUUAGAUACCCCACUAUGCUUAACCCUAAACUUAGAUACUUCAAAUACAAAACUAUCCGCCAGAAAACUACGAGUAAAACACUUAAAACUCCAAGGACUUGGCGGUACCUCAAAUCCACCUAGAGGAGCCUGUUCUAUAAUCGAUAAUCCACGAUAAACCUCACCAUCCUUUGCCAACUCAGCCUAUAUACCACCGUCACAGCCUACCUUAUGAAAGUCAAAAAGUAAGCUCAAUAGCCACAACAGCUAACAAGUCAGGUCAAGGUGUAGCCAAUUAAGAUGGAAGAAAUGGGCUACAUUUUCUAUAAUAGAAAUAAACCACGGAACAGAACUAUGAAACAUAGUCUAGAUAAGAAGGAUUUAGCAGUAAAUUAAGAGCAGAGAGCCUAAUUUAAACCGGACCUGAGGUGCGCACACACCGCCCGUCACCCCCAUCAACCAACAAAUACUCAACCGUAAAUAACAUCUUAAACACAAACAGAUGGGGUAAGUCGUAACAAGGUAAGUAUACCGGAAGGUGUACUUGGACUACA